UACGAAGUAGGCUUCCGCAAGGACAUUCGUAGAGGUGCUGCAUGGCUGUCGUCAGCUCGUGUCGUGAGAUGUUGGGUUAAGUCCCGCAACGAGCGCAACCCUUGUUUGCUGUUGCCAUCAGGUAAUGCUGGGCACUCUGCAAAGACUGCCGGUGAUAAACCGGAGGAAGGUGGGGAUGACGUCAAGUCAGCAUGGCCUUUAUGUCUGGGGCUACACACGUGCUACAAUGGCCGGUACAAACCGUCGCGAGCCCGCGAGGGGGAGCUAAUCGGAGAAAGCCGGUCUCAGUUCGGAUAGCAGGCUGCAACUCGCCUGCUUGAAGUUGGAAUCGCUAGUAAUCGCGGAUCAGCACGCCGCGGUGAAUACGUUCCCGGGCCUUGUACACACCGCCCGUCACAUCACGAAAGCCGGUUGUACUAGAAGUCGCCACACUAACCCGCAAGGGAGGGAGGCGCCUAAGGUAUGAUCGGUGAUUGGGGUGAAGUCGUAACAAGGUAACCGU
rnacentral:rRNA from 1 species